GGAUCAUUACAGAGCUACCGGUGCCCUCUCGGGCGCCUGCUCCCACCACGUGUGAACCUCGACCGUUGCUUUGGCGGGCCGGCAGGCCCUGCCCCCCGGCCCCGGCUGGGGAGCGCCCGCCAGAGGACCCAUAAACCCGUCUCAAUGUGGAAUCUGAGUCUAGUCUAAAAAAGUCAAAACUUUCAACAACGGAUCUCUUGGUUCUGGCAUCGAUGAAGAACGCAGCGAAAUGCGAUAAGUAAUGUGAAUUGCAGAAUUCAGUGAAUCAUCGAAUCUUUGAACGCACAUUGCGCCCUUUGGUAUUCCGAAGGGCAUGCCUGUUCGAGCGUCAUUUCAAACCCUCAAGCACCGCUUGGUCUUGGGCGCCGGUCCGGUGAGGACCCGCCCGCAACCCGUCGGCGGGACCGUCCGGCUCUAAGCGUAGCAAGAAUCUUCCCUCGCUUCGGAGCUCUGGGCGGCCCCCGCCAGGGAAACCUCCUUUCAAAGUUUGACCUC
rnacentral:rRNA from 1 species